CACUUAUUGAUAUGUGAGUUGUCUAAUUUUUACUUCAAAUUCUACAUCUUUUUGUCUCACUGUUUUUCUGAAUAUUUGCAGCCAUCUGAAAUGGGUCUUGAAGAGAUUGAAAGCAAAUUGGGUUCUCUUGUACAAGCAGAUACUAUUUCCCAAUUGAAGAGUGCUGUGUGGAAGGAACGACUUGAAGCAAUAUCUUCAUUUAAACAACAAGUGGAAGGUUUAUCAGACCUAGACCACUGGGUUGAGUUAUUGAUU